CAUCCCGACUUACCAACCCGAUGCAAACUGCGAAUACCGGAGAAUGUUAUUACGGGAGACACACGGCGGGUGCUAACGUCCGUCGUGAAGAGGGAAACAACCCAGACCGCCAGCUAAGGUCCCAAAGUCAUGGUUAAGUGGGAAACGAUGUGGGAAGGCCCAGACAGCCAGGAUGUUGGCUUAGAAGCAGCCAUCAUUUAAAGAAAGCGUAAUAGCUCACUGGUCGAGUCGGCCUGCGCGGAAGAUGUAACGGGGCUAAACCAUGCACCGAAGCUGCGGCAGCGACGCUUAUGCGUUGUUGGGUAGGGGAGCGUUCUGUAAGCCUGUGAAGGUGUGCUGUGAGGUAUGCUGGAGGUAUCAGAAGUGCGAAUGCUGACAUAAGUAACGAUAAAGCGGGUGAAAAGCCCGCUCGCCGGAAGACCAAGGGUUCCUGUCCAACGUUAAUCGGGGCAGGGUGAGUCGACCCCUAAGGCGAGGCCGAAAGGCGUAGUCGAUGGGAAACAGGUUAAUAUUCCUGUACUUGGUGUUACUGCGAAGGGGGGACGGAGAAGGCUAUGUUGGCCGGGCGACGGUUGUCCCGGUUUAAGCGUGUAGGCUGGUUUUCCAGGCAAAUCCGGAAAAUCAAGGCCGAGGCGUGAUGACGAGGCACUACGGUGCUGAAGCAACAAAUGCCCUGCUUCCAGGAAAAGCCUCUAAGCAUCAGGUAACAUCAAAUCGUACCCCAAACCGACACAGGUGGUCAGGUAGAGAAUACCAAGGCGCUUGAGAGAACUCGGGUGAAGGAACUAGGCAAAAUGGUGCCGUAACUUCGGGAGAAGGCACGCUGAUACGUAGGUGAAGCGACUUGCUCGUGGAGCUGAAAUCAGUCGAAGAUACCAGCUGGCUGCAACUGUUUAUUAAAAACACAGCACUGUGCAAACACGAAAGUGGACGUAUACGGUGUGACGCCUGCCCGGUGCCGGAAGGUUAAUUGAUGGGGUUAGCGCAAGCGAAGCUCUUGAUCGAAGCCCCGGUAAACGGCGGCCGUAACUAUAACGGUCCUAAGGUAGCGAAAUUCCUUGUCGGGUAAGUUCCGACCUGCACGAAUGGCGUAAUGAUGGCCAGGCUGUCUCCACCCGAGACUCAGUGAAAUUGAACUCGCUGUGAAGAUGCAGUGUACCCGCGGCAAGACGGAAAGACCCCGUGAACCUUUACUAUAGCUUGACACUGAACAUUGAGCCUUGAUGUGUAGGAUAGGUGGGAGGCUUUGAAGUGUGGACGCCAGUCUGCAUGGAGCCGACCUUGAAAUACCACCCUUUAAUGUUUGAUGUUCUAACGUGGACCCGUGAUCCGGGUUGCGGACAGUGUCUGGUGGGUAGUUUGACUGGGGCGGUCUCCUCCUAAAGAGUAACGGAGGAGCACGAAGGUUGGCUAAUCCUGGUCGGACAUCAGGAGGUUAGUGCAAUGGCAUAAGCCAGCUUGACUGCGAGCGUGACGGCGCGAGCAGGUGCGAAAGCAGGUCAUAGUGAUCCGGUGGUUCUGAAUGGAAGGGCCAUCGCUCAACGGAUAAAAGGUACUCCGGGGAUAACAGGCUGAUACCGCCCAAGAGUUCAUAUCGACGGCGGUGUUUGGCACCUCGAUGUCGGCUCAUCACAUCCUGGGGCUGAAGUAGGUCCCAAGGGUAUGGCUGUUCGCCAUUUAAAGUGGUACGCGAGCUGGGUUUAGAACGUCGUGAGACAGUUCGGUCCCUAUCUGCCGUGGGCGCUGGAGAACUGAGGGGGGCUGCUCCUAGUACGAGAGGACCGGAGUGGACGCAUCACUGGUGUUCGGGUUGUCAUGCCAAUGGCACUGCCCGGUAGCUAAAUGCGGAAGAGAUAAGUGCUGAAAGCAUCUAAGCACGAAACUUGCCCCGAGAUGAGUUCUCCCUGACCCUUUAAGGGUCCUGAAGGAACGUUGAAGACGACGACGUUGAUAGGCCGGGUGUGUAAGCGCAGCGAUGCGUUGAGCUAACCGGUACUAAUGAACCGUGAGGCUUAACCUUACAACGCCGAAG
rnacentral:rRNA from 1 species